GAAAAUUUGGUCUUGGUUUACACUUAACUGAAAUUAAUAAAAAUACAUGGUAGUUUUGCGAGUUUGUACAUUAUUAACUUUUUUUAUUAGGAUUUAAAGAGUUUUUUUAAUUUAAGUUAUGUUUAUCAAAAAAAUUUAUGACGAAAAUAUUUACAACACCAGUAUAAGAGUUUAAAUAGGGAAGAAAUUUUGUUUUAGAUAUUAUUUUUAAAGCUAGUUAAAUUUGUGCCAGCAACUGCGGUUAUACAAAAGGCUUGAGUUAAGAUUAAAACGGUAAAAAAUAGUUAUAAGUUUAGUGGUUAACUUUCAUAAUAUUAAUAGGUAAAAUUUGUAGAUAUUAUUGUAAUCCUAAGUUAACUGAAAUUAGAGGCUAUGAAAAUUUAAAUUAAGACUGGGAUUAGAUACCCCAUUAUUUAAAUUGUAAAUUGUUUACCUGGGUAUUACGAGUCAAUAAAUAGCUUAAAAUCUAAAAGACUUGGCGGUACUUUAAAACUUUCUAGGGGAGCCUGUCCUAUAAUCGAUAUUCCGCGCUUAACCUUACUUUAUUUAUGGUUUGUGUACUGCCGUCAUCAGCUUACGCUUAAGGGAGUAGAAGUUAGCUUUAAAAUUAUUUAUUAUUAUGUCAGGUCAAAGUGCAGCUUAUAAUAAAGAAGAGAUGGGCUACAAUUUUUAUUUGGAGACUGUAAUUUUAUUGUAAUAUAAAAUGAAAGUAGGACUUAGAAGUAAUUUUAGUUUAGAAUACUAAUAUGAAAAAGCUCUAAAGUGUGUACAUAUCGCCCGUCGCUCUCUUUUAAUAAGAGAUAAGUCGUAACAUAGUAGGGGUAGCUGAAGCUGUUCCUU
rnacentral:ncRNA from 1 species